GAAAGGGUGGAAACGGUAGAAACUGCCGAAACAAAAAACGCGGCUCACCCGAUGGAAUUUUCACAAUAUCAUCUGCAAAAUCCAGAAAUCGGUUUCCCAUCUCCGAGUGGAUUUAGUUCGAAAAAAAAUCCCGAUCUCGACGUAUUCACUGAUGUUCGUCAGUCCAAAUAGCGGAGACUGCGGUAAUAUGACGAAACUGCAGUAUCGGAGAGAUUAUAUCGUGGCGCCGGUCCAUAUCCCAAAUUUAUGGAAAGUCUGGUACAAGAAAUGGAAAAUUCACCGUAACAAAAAAAAUCCGUCGGACGACUUCCGGACCGAGCAAAUUCUCAUAAUAUCUCGGACGCCUGCGCCGAUGUCGAGUGGAAAUAUUUUGGCGGGAGGAAAAACGGUGAUAACGAUUCGCGGUAACGCCAUCUUAAGACGGUACUUUUACGACUGUGGAGCCGACGACAUAACGCCGCAAAAUUCUGAAGGCAAUAAUAACAAAAAAAUAAUUAUCAUCCAGCUGCACGAGUGCAAUCAUUUAAAACGACAACUUUACCGAUUCCUCCCCAGAAAUAAAUUGUAGCUCAGAGGAUCUGCACGCCAUGUCGAAAACGCGGAGAAAAAGAAAGAGCGGAGACGACGAGCCUUAAUUAACGGGAAGAAAAGUAUUCGUAAGCGGAGAACGCUGCCUGAAAAGAAGAAUAAACGAAGCUCGAUAUGGGUUCUUCGAUGAGCGGAGGUCGGUGCGAUGGUGAUUAUAAGAUCGUAAUAAAGCCAUAAAAUAUGCGCCGCGGAUUACUCGACAUGUUCCCUUGAUUGUCGAUUAGUUAAACUUCAAUUCUUUCAAGUUUGAAAAUCUCUUUUUUUCUUCAAACACGUUUCAGUAGCUGAUAAAUUCGCAGGUUUACGAUCGCUGUUCCGCUGUCAUGAUUAAUAAAUCGAUGACAAGAUGAGGUUAAAUUUGAAAGUGGAAAAAAAAUUUAAAAGAAAAAAAUGAACGGUUCUACAACGAACAACUGCAGCCAUCGAAGAUUAUCGAGGCAAAAGGAAGACCCGCAUGUGUCUGAAUCUUUUUAUAACAACGAAGAAGCCACAGAAGAAAAAUCACCCAUCGGUAAUAGCCGCGCUAAAAAAUCAACAUUUCCCUUUUACGUGAAGAAAAAAUUGGCCAAAUCAACGAAACGAUCUCUGAAGCCUUCAUCUGACGAGAGGUCGGAUCGCAGAUUGCCUCUGUUCGUUAUAAAAAAUAAGGAUUCCGUUUCUUCAAAGACGAAAAGUCCUUCAAAGGCGUCGAGAAAAAUUACUCAGCUAUUUCGAAGUUCCGGAGAAUCGAGGCCACCGAUUUUUGAAUUCAAGUUUCGGGGUGGGUUACGGAAAAAAAGAGAAAGAAAAUCGGGGACAGAGUUUUUCAUUGAUCAAGAUCAGGGUCUUCAUCCCUCUCGAGAAUCUUGGGGAUGUUCCGCGAAAUCCUCGCUUCACGUCGAUUACCCUUCGGAAAAAUCGGUCCACGAUAUCAACUCCGAUGAUUCCUUCGGAAAGAGAUUCUCUGUUGCUUCCGAAAAAUCGUUGAGAUCAUAUUGCGACGGAAGCGUAUCAACCAGAUCGAAGUCCAACUCAUCGAGAAAAUGGCGAUUUUCGAAAAUUAAACGAUCGGCAACACCGGAGGCAAACGAGCCGAAGAGAUCUCGCCGGUCUUCGAAAAAAUCCUACAAGGUGAUAUAUUCCUGAAUUUUUGAUUUCUCAGAUCGUGCGGUACGAAACAGAUAUUGAAACUUGAUUCAUCUUCAGGAUCGCGUACGCUCAUUUUUUUCUACGCGAAAAAAAUUUGCCAGGAUAAAAAGACUCUACAAAAACAUGAGCGUCUCGAGCUGGAGGAAUUCAAAUAAAAAAGAAAUGGCUGGGUGUUCUCGGGUGUACCAGGUAGACAAAAUAACGUCUACUAAUUCAGGAUCUAUGAGCGGUUCGAUCUGCAAAAUCGGACCUAUCGCGAGGACUAUAAAUUUAUCGACCUCUUGCGGGUCGCUAAUAAACUGUGAAAAUUUUCCCACCGAUGAUUCAAAAACUGCAGUGUCGUCGGAAUCGGGAGAAGGAUUGGCUAAAGAAGAGGACCUUUUACCAUCUAACAGGGAGCCGAAAAGUGUCGGCUCCGGCACAACCGUCCGUAUUAAACCAGUGCGCGAAAAACCGGCCGAGGCGAAAAAAAAUGAAGCUUUGCAAAAUUGUAAAUUGUAUAAUCAGCCCAAUUGCGAGUGUCCGGAAAAUCUUAAUUUUGUCCCGAAAACAGCGAAUGAUUUCGACACAAACUCCGCGAAGCAUUGCCAUUGCGCCGACGGAGUCUGCGAUGGAACCUCGCUGAAAAAACAUAAGGUGAACUUGGCCAGCUGUUGCGGUAUAAUGGCAGAUAAGAGGAAAAAAAAAAAAAAAAUGAAUGAAGACAGGGCACAGGAGUAAGUGUGGUAAUUUAUUCGCGGAUAUCGUGGACAUCAACACCGUGGUUCGCAGGGGGCAUAGUUGACUGGCUUUUUCAUGUAAUCAGGCUAAUUGUUCCAAGUUGAUUCGAAUCUCGCGCGUGCACCGCGCGUGAUAUUUCGAAUAUCCGAGUUUUGAGAGUGAACAAGGCGUGCGUACCUAUAUAUAUUAUGUAACGAGAAUUUAACGUCGACAGGAGGACGUACCCCAGGAUUGUUUUAUUAAUACGUAUUAACAAAGAAUCCACUCACUUAAAUGGCAUUCCGCACUAUUGACUGCGUUGUAAAGGGUUAUACCGCAGGCCGUUACAACUGCCUCUGUUAUUAUAAGAGUUGUCACAGCUUUACACACCCUUAUCAAUCCCCGAGACUGUCAACCCCUGAAUACCCUUUAUUUGGCGUCAACACGCACCCCGAAACGAAAGACCACCGCUAAUACGAAAUGCAAAUGAAAGCGUCGCGAUGUAUGAAUUUUUCAAUCCUCUCGCUUGAUUAUUUAUAGACAGAAAUAAAAUUCAGACCCUCGACCUUC